CUUAGUGAUUGAGGAAAUUUGUGUCAUGGAAGAGAGGGAAGAGUGUAAUGUUAGCACCAGGAGUGGAGGGGAAUGAGAUGAGAAAUGCUUGCUUUUCUUUCUAUCAUUGUUAGUCAUCCAAUUUGGAAUGACAUUCAAAACUGGAACUACCUGAAAUAGUCACCAAUAUGUGCAAGGAAAGGAGAAGAAGAAGAAGGAAAUGAAGCCAUUUUACUUUUGUUUGCUCUUGGCAGUUCAAUUCUGAUUCACCUAUAGAAGAGUUUCAUGGCAUGAAAGAGUGCAAAGUGGGGGAAGCAAUCACCACGAGAUAUGAAGAUAUUACAAAUACAUUGGAUCAAGUUGAACUCAAAACCACGGUCCAUAUAGAUUAUUUACAAUGGAUGAAGAAGAUAAGAUCAAUCUCAAAGUGGAAACACCAUCAGCAAUAUCAAGGAUUCAAUUGAGGAAGGAAAUGAGCACGAGCCUGAAACCACUCACAAAGGAAAGUGACGAAGAUAAUGCCUCUCAAAAUAUAUUAUAUGCUCUAAAUCCCAGCCACUAGAAAACAUUCCUUGCUUUACAAUAGACCUCCGAGGACAGAGAAAGGAUGUUUGGUGAGCACUUGGGGAUGCGAGCAUGGAUUUUGAACUGCCAAGGGAAAUCACAGAUGAAUCUUAUUUUGCUAGUGGCCAGAGAGUGUUGAAGUUACAAGCAUGGAGAUUAGUGUUGUGCACUACAGUGUUGAGUUUUAUUGUGAUGAAGAUUUGAGAUUGACCUCAAUUUCAUCUUUUGUGCCCUUGUCCUUUGUGUUCUCCUCAUCAUCAGGUUUAAAUUGGAGCCUAAACCAAUUGGAGUAGUGUAGUUUAUACUGGUCAAAUUUGUUAAGCAAUGAUGCACCUGAAUAUCCAUGUA